rnacentral:rRNA from 1 species
AGUGGCGAACGGGUGAGUAACACGUGAGUAACCUGCCCUUGACUUCGGGAUAACUCCGGGAAACCGGGGCUAAUACCGGAUAUGAGCUACCCUCGCAUGGGGGUGGUUGGAAAGUUUUUCGGUCAGGGAUGGGCUCGCGGCCUAUCAGCUUGUUGGUGGGGUGAUGGCCUACCAAGGCGACGACGGGUAGCCGGCCUGAGAGGGCGACCGGCCACACUGGGACUGAGACACGGCCCAGACUCCUACGGGAGGCAGCAGUGGGGAAUAUUGCACAAUGGGCGCAAGCCUGAUGCAGCGACGCCGCGUGAGGGAUGAAGGCCUUCGGGUUGUAAACCUCUUUCAGCAGGGAAGAAGCGCAAGUGACGGUACCUGCAGAAGAAGCGCCGGCUAACUACGUGCCAGCAGCCGCGGUAAUACGUAGGGCGCAAGCGUUGUCCGGAAUUAUUGGGCGUAAAGAGCUCGUAGGCGGUUUGUCGCGUCUGGUGUGAAAACUCGAGGCUCAACCUCGAGCUUGCAUCGGGUACGGGCAGACUAGAGUGCGGUAGGGGAGACUGGAAUUCCUGGUGUAGCGGUGGAAUGCGCAGAUAUCAGGAGGAACACCGAUGGCGAAGGCAGGUCUCUGGGCCGCAACUGACGCUGAGGAGCGAAAGCAUGGGGAGCGAACAGGAUUAGAUACCCUGGUAGUCCAUGCCGUAAACGUUGGGCACUAGGUGUGGGGCUCAUUCCACGAGUUCCGUGCCGCAGCAAACGCAUUAAGUGCCCCGCCUGGGGAGUACGGCCGCAAGGCUAAAACUCAAAGGAAUUGACGGGGGCCCGCACAAGCGGCGGAGCAUGCGGAUUAAUUCGAUGCAACGCGAAGAACCUUACCAAGGCUUGACAUGCACGGGAAGCCACCAGAGAUGGUGGUCUCUUUGGACACUCGUGCACAGGUGGUGCAUGGUUGUCGUCAGCUCGUGUCGUGAGAUGUUGGGUUAAGUCCCGCAACGAGCGCAACCCUCGUCCCAUGUUGCCAGCGGGUUAUGCCGGGGACUCAUGGGAGACUGCCGGGGUCAACUCGGAGGAAGGUGGGGAUGACGUCAAAUCAUCAUGCCCCUUAUGUCUUGGGCUUCACGCAUGCUACAAUGGCCGGUACAAAGGGCUGCGAUACCGUAAGGUGGAGCGAAUCCCAAAAAGCCGGUCUCAGUUCGGAUUGGGGUCUGCAACUCGACCCCAUGAAGUCGGAGUCGCUAGUAAUCGCA